rnacentral:rRNA from 1 species
GUGGAUUAGAUACCCUGGUAGUCCACGCCCUAAACGAUGUCAACUGGUUGUUGGGUCUUCACUGACUCAGUAACGAAGCUAACGCGUGAAGUUGACCGCCUGGGGAGUACGGCAGCAAGGUUGAAACUCAAAGGAAUUGACGGGGACCCGCACAAGCGGUGGAUGAUGUGGUUUAAUUCGAUGCAACGCGAAAACCCUUACCCACCUUUGACAUGUACGGAAGUCGCUAGAGAUAGCUUCGUGCUCGAAAGAGAGCCGUAACACAGGUGCUGCAUGGCCGUCGCCAGCG